rnacentral:rRNA from 1 species
UUAAGUUAGAAAGGGCGCACGGUGGAUGCCUUGACACUAGGAGUCGAUGAAGGACGGGACUAACGCCGAUAUGCUUCGGGGAGCUGUAAGUAAGCUUUGAUCCGAAGAUUUCCGAAUGGGGAAACCCACCAUACGUAAUGGUAUGGUAUCCUUAUCUGAAUACAUAGGGUAAGGAAGACAGACCCAGGGAACUGAAACAUCUAAGUACCUGGAGGAAGAGAAAGCAAAUGCGAUUUCCUGAGUAGCGGCGAGCGAAACGGAACAUAGCCCAAACCAAGAGGCUUGCCUCUUGGGGUUGUAGGACAUUCUAUACGGAGUUACAAAGGAACGAGGUAGACGAAGCGACCUGGAAAGGUCCGUCGUAGAGGGUAACAACCCCGUAGUCGAAACUUCGUUCUCUCUUGAAUGUAUCCUGAGUACGGCGGAACACGUGAAAUUCCGUCGGAAUCUGGGAGGACCAUCUCCCAAGGCUAAAUACUCCCUAGUGAUCGAUAGUGAACCAGUACCGUGAGGGAAAGGUGAAAAGCACCCCGGAAGGGGAGUGAAAGAGAUCCUGAAACCGUGUGCCUACAAAUAGUCAGAGCCCGUUAACGGGUGAUGGCGUGCCUUUUGUAGAAUGAACCGGCGAGUUACGAUCCCGUGCGAGGUUAAGCUGAAGAGGCGGAGCCGCAGCGAAAGCGAGUCUGAAUAGGGCGUUUAGUACGUGGUCGUAGACCCGAAACCAGGUGAUCUACCCAUGUCCAGGGUGAAGUUCAGGUAACACUGAAUGGAGGCCCGAACCCACGCACGUUGAAAAGUGCGGGGAUGAGGUGUGGGUAGCGGAGAAAUUCCAAUCGAACCUGGAGAUAGCUGGUUCUCCCCGAAAUAGCUUUAGGGCUAGCCUUAAGUGUAAGAGUCUUGGAGGUAGAGCACUGAUUGGACUAGGGGUCCUCAUCGGAUUACCGAAUUCAGUCAAACUCCGAAUGCCAAUGACUUAUCCUUAGGAGUCAGACUGCGAGUGAUAAGAUCCGUAGUCAAAAGGGAAACAGCCCAGACCGCCAGCUAAGGUCCCAAAGUGUGUAUUAAGUGGAAAAGGAUGUGGAGUUGCUUAGACAACUAGGAUGUUGGCUUAGAAGCAGCCACCAUUUAAAGAGUGCGUAAUAGCUCACUAGUCGAGUGACUCUGCGCCGAAAAUGUACCGGGGCUAAAUACACCACCGAAGCUGCGGAUUGAUACCGAAUGGUAUCAGUGGUAGGGGAGCGUUCUAAGGACAGUGAAGUCAGACCGGAAGGACUGGUGGAGUGCUUAGAAGUGAGAAUGCCGGUAUGAGUAGCGAAAGACGGGUGAGAAUCCCGUCCACCGAAUGCCUAAGGUUUCCUGAGGAAGGCUCGUCCGCUCAGGGUUAGUCAGGACCUAAGCCGAGGCCGACAGGCGUAGGCGAUGGACAACAGGUUGAUAUUCCUGUACCACCUCUUUAUCGUUUGAGCAAUGGAGGGACGCAGAAGGAUAGAAGAAGCGUGCGAUUGGUUGUGCACGUCCAAGCAGUUAGGCUGAUAAGUAGGCAAAUCCGCUUAUCGUAAAGGCUGAGCUGUGAUGGGGAAGCUCCUUAUGGAGCGAAGUCUUUGAUUCCCCGCUGCCAAGAAAAGCUUCUAGCGAGAUAAAAGGUGCCUGUACCGCAAACCGACACAGGUAGGCGAGGAGAGAAUCCUAAGGUGUGCGAGAGAACUCUGGUUAAGGAACUCGGCAAAAUGACCCCGUAACUUCGGGAGAAGGGGUGCUUUCUUAACGGAAAGCCGCAGUGAAUAGGCCCAAGCGACUGUUUAGCAAAAACACAGCUCUCUGCGAAGCCGUAAGGCGAAGUAUAGGGGGUGACACCUGCCCGGUGCUGGAAGGUUAAGGAGAGGGGUUAGCGUAAGCGAAGCUCUGAACUGAAGCCCCAGUAAACGGCGGCCGUAACUAUAACGGUCCUAAGGUAGCGAAAUUCCUUGUCGGGUAAGUUCCGACCCGCACGAAAGGUGUAACGAUUUGGGCACUGUCUCAACCAGAGACUCGGUGAAAUUAUAGUACCUGUGAAGAUGCAGGUUACCCGCGACAGGACGGAAAGACCCCGUGGAGCUUUACUGUAGCCUGAUAUUGAAUUUUGGUACAGUUUGUACAGGAUAGGCGGGAGCCAUUGAAACCGGAGCGCUAGCUUCGGUGGAGGCGCUGGUGGGAUACCGCCCUGACUGUAUUGAAAUUCUAACCUACGGGUCUUAUCGACCCGGGAGACAGUGUCAGGUGGGCAGUUUGACUGGGGCGGUCGCCUCCUAAAGUGUAACGGAGGCGCCCAAAGGUUCCCUCAGAAUGGUUGGAAAUCAUUCGUAGAGUGCAAAGGCAUAAGGGAGCUUGACUGCGAGACCUACAAGUCGAGCAGGGACGAAAGUCGGGCUUAGUGAUCCGGUGGUUCCGCAUGGAAGGGCCAUCGCUCAACGGAUAAAAGCUACCCCGGGGAUAACAGGCUUAUCUCCCCAAGAGUCCACAUCGACGGGGAGGUUUGGCACCUCGAUGUCGGCUCAUCGCAUCCUGGGGCUGUAGUCGGUCCCAAGGGUUGGGCUGUUCGCCCAUUAAAGCGGUACGCGAGCUGGGUUCAGAACGUCGUGAGACAGUUCGGUCCCUAUCCGUCGUGGGCGUAGGAAAUUUGAGAGGAGCUGUCCUUAGUACGAGAGGACCGGGAUGGACGCACCGCUGGUGUACCAGUUGUUCUGCCAAGGGCAUAGCUGGGUAGCUAUGUGCGGAAGGGAUAAGUGCUGAAAGCAUCUAAGCAUGAAGCCCCCCUCAAGAUGAGAUUUCCCAUAGCGUAAGCUAGUAAGAUCCCUGAAAGAUGAUCAGGUUGAUAGGUUCGAGGUGGAAGCAUGGUGACAUGUGGAGCUGACGAAUACUAAUAGAUCGAGGACUUAACCAU